rnacentral:rRNA from 1 species
CCUACGGGGGGCAGCAGUGGGGAAUAUUGGACAAUGGGGGGAACCCUGAUCCAGCCAUGCCGCGUGUGUGAAGAAGGCCCUCGGGUUGUAAAGCACUUUCAGUGAGGAAGAACGCCUGGUGGUUAAUACCCAUCAGGAAAGACAUCACUCACAGAAGAAGCACCGGCUAACUCCGUGCCAGCAGCCGCGGUAAUACGGAGGGUGCGAGCGUUAAUCGGAAUUACUGGGCGUAAAGCGCGCGUAGGUGGCUUGAUAAGCCGGUUGUGAAAGCCUCGGGCUCAACCUGGGAACGGCAUCCGGAACUGUCAAGCUAGAGUGCAGGAGAGGAAGGUAGAAUUCCCGGUGUAGCGGUGAAAUGCGUAGAGAUCGGGAGGAAUACCAGUGGCGAAGGCGGCCUUCUGGACUGACACUGACACUGAGGUGCGAAAGCGUGGGUAGCAAACAGGAUUAGAUACCCGUGUAGUC